CGCUCCCGAGCACCGGCAAGGCCGGGGAUGAUGUAACCGAGGGCUAGCCCGGGCAAGGCCGAGCCCGAGCGGGCCUCCGGAGAUGCUGACGCGACGCUGCUUGAGCACCCCUCUUGCCCCCCACCCCUCCUUCUGCUGAGAGCUUCUGGAGCUGAGGAAGGGGUUCCUGAGCAUGGCUAGACUACAUCCGGGCUCCCAAAGCUGUGAGGGUGGAGGAUGCGAAUGGCUCAGUCAGCGGGGGAGAUUUUGCAGAAUCCCUGGGAACCUGUGUGCCUGGCUGCCCGCUGCCCAAAUUCUAAUUCAGUAGGUUCAGAGAGAGAGAGCGCGCAAGCACAAACAGGGGGAGCAGAAGAAGGAGAGGGAGAAGCAGGUUCUCCACUGAGCAAGAAGCCGGAUUCAGGGCUUGAUCCCAGGACCCCAAGAUCAUGAUCUGAGCCAAAGGCAGGCACUUAACUGACUGAGCCACCCAGGCAGGCCUGAUGCAUGUCACUUCUCAGCCAGAUGUGAAGAAAUGCACAUGCCUUCUUCUUGGUUUUUCUCCUUCCUCCAGCUGGAAGCAGAGAUCCUGUUGUUCCAGGGAAUGGUGGAGCCAGUCAAGAGCCUGAAUCCCUGAAUCACCACACGGACAUCGGCUACUUGCCAACCAGAACACCUUAGUUGUGCUCAUGUGUGUGUGAGAAAUAAACAUCUUUGGGUGUCUCGAAAA